AUGAGAGAGUUACAGCCAAUGUGUUGCGCUAGCCAAGCCCCGUUCCUGAUGGCUUGUAUUUCCGCUGAUUCGGCAGUGAUUACAUGUGGUAUGAACCACGCUGCGGCUGCAAUGAACUCUCCUCUGUCAUCUCGAGCAAUCGCGCCCACUGCACAUGACAUAGUUUCAGCACUGAACGAGGCAUCAACAUUGACCUUCACCCAUCCUCUAGGUGGUUUCCUCCACAUAUGCUCUCGUUUUCUAUAUGGUAUAUUAGGUUUUGAUGCUCGGAAGAAGUUUGUACACAGUACCUUGAUAAUAGUAGCAGUACGAUCCGGGGACAUUAUACUUUCUCCCUUAACAAGUUGUCGUCUCUACCACCAAAUAUACCACACUGCAACUGCACAUAAUUCUGCUUUUGGCAAUCCAUCCGCACUAUCUUGGGCUCUUUGCAGUAUUUCCAGCGUUACCGAACCGCCACAAUCGUAG
rnacentral:rRNA from 1 species